ensembl:snoRNA LOC120095720 small nucleolar RNA SNORA71
UUCUGUUUCUGGAAGUGUUCAUGGGCUUUCAGGUGCCCUGGUCAUUGAUACUGCAGGGAGAGGAUGCCAUGAGCUUUCCGUCAUGUCUGGAAGGUCGCCCCUGUCCUUGCCAAACCCAGGUAUUUUAUAUAUA